rnacentral:rRNA from 1 species
UACGAGGGGGGCAAAUGUUGUUCGGAAUCACUGGGCGUAAAGGGUGCGUAGGCGGCGCGGUAAGUCGGGUGUGAAAUCUCGGAGCUUAACUCCGAAACUGCAUUCGAUACUGCCGUGCUUGAGGACUGGAGAGGAGACUGGAAUUUACGGUGUAGCGGUGAAAUGCGUAGAUAUCGUAAGGAAGACCAGUGGCGAAGGCGGGUCUCUGGACAGUUCCUGACGCUGAGGCACGAAGGUCAGGGGAGCAAACGGG